AUGGAUCAUGAUGUAGCAUGGAAUAGAAUACGUAUUGAUCAGUGUUACCUAAAGUUCGAAGAAGAGCGUCGAAGUGCUUCAGCGGUGAAGAAGAACCCAGUAACCGAAACGAGUGGUGGGUCUUCAAAUCUGGUGAAUGGUGGACAAAUCGUAGAGCAUAAAGAUUUAAAAGAAAAAUAUGUUGUGGAUGAUAAACUGAAAGAUGUGAAGCAUGACAUGCAUGGUGUGGAACAUAGUGAAGGACCCACAGAGUGUUUUGAUGGUUUAAAAGAAAAAAAAUGUCAUCGGUUGAAGGACCUUCUAUCAUACUGA